rnacentral:tRNA from 12 species
GUGUGGGGGCCGGUGUGGAGUGUGGACUUCAGAUCCGAGUCCGGAUUGUAGUUGGGGCCUU